GCCGUUGUCACAUAGGUAGCACCAAAUACCAAUUGAUCCCACAACUUUCAUCGAGCAUUUCACAAUCUUUUUAACUUAUAAACCAGAAAUGUUUUGUGUUUUCAAAUAAACCAAACGACGUCGUUUUCAAUUGGGGAAAAAUAAGAAUUCUAGGGUUUCGAUUUUCCCAAAUCGAUUUCUCAUUUCAUCUUCUUUUUCUCCGAAAAUAGAGUGACGAAAGAGGAGAUAUUGGAGAAUAGAGAGCGAUGAUGUGUGUGGUGUAAAUAUCGAGUAGAAAUCUACAAAAUCUGCGAAAAUGAGCCAUAAUGACAACGGCUCGCAGGUUCGAGACCCCAGUUUGCAAACUCAACGUAGACCCCAGUUUUGCAGCCAUAAUUUAUUCUCUUUAAUAUGUGAGAAGAAACUUUUCUUCUAAAUUAACUUUUUUUUCAUUUCUUCUGAACUUUUUUUUCCAUUUCUACUAACUUUUCUAUCAGUCAGACCCUUCGUGUUAAUUUCACAAUCAAAACUAAAUGAUUCUUCGAGUAA